GGGAAAUUCUGCCCAUUCACCCAGUAGAGUAUUUGUGAGGUCAAGCACUCAUUUUGGACGAGAAGGCCUGGCUUGCAAUCUACUUUCCAGUUCAUCCCACAGAUAUCCGACUGGGUUGAGGUCAGGGCUCUGUGCCGGCCAGUAAAGUUCUUCCACACAAAACUCAUCCAACCAUGUAUUUGUGGACUUUGCUUUGUGCUCUGGGGCACAG